rnacentral:rRNA from 1 species
UACAGAGGUCUCAAGCGUUGUUCGGAUUCAUUGGGCGUAAAGGGUGCGUAGGUGGCGUGGUAAGUCGGAUGUGAAAUCCCGGGGCUCAACCCCGGAACUGCAUUCGAUACUGCCUUGCUAGAGUACUGGAGAGGAGAUUGGAAUUUACGGUGUAGCAGUGAAAUGCGUAGAUAUUAGGAAGAACACCAGUGGCGAAGGCGGCUCACUGGCCCGGUACUGACGCUCAUGUGCGAAAGCGUGGGGAGCAAACAGG